rnacentral:rRNA from 1 species
CCUACGGGUGGCAGCAGUGGGGAAUAUUGGACAAUGGGCGAAAGCCUGAUCCAGCCAUGCCGCGUGUGUGAAGAAGGCCUUCGGGUUGUAAAGCACUUUCAGUGGGGAAGAAAGCCUUGGGGCUAAUACCCUCGAGGAAGGACAUCACCCACAGAAGAAGCACCGGCUAACUCCGUGCCAGCAGCCGCGGUAAUACGGAGGGUGCGAGCGUUAAUCGGAAUUACUGGGCGUAAAGCGCGCGUAGGCGGUCUGAUAAGCCGGUUGUGAAAGCCCCGGGCUCAACCUGGGAACGGCAUCCGGAACUGUCAGGCUAGAGUGCAGGAGAGGAAGGUAGAAUUCCCGGUGUAGCGGUGAAAUGCGUAGAGAUCGGGAGGAAUACCAGUGGCGAAGGCGGCCUACUGGACUGACACUGACGCUGAGGUGCGAAAGCGUGGGUAGCAAACAGGAUUAGAUACCCCAGUAGUC